AAAGUUCACGAAUUCUAUCGGUUUUACGUCCCGGAAAAAUCAAUUACGACAAAUCGAAAUUCCCAAUAAACCAGACCAAAAAUUCCGCCUCGAUUUAACCGUGGAGAUUUUCCAACUCCUCGGUGUACUUUGAUUCCAUGGCUCUGUCGUGCGACCAAAAUUCGUUGUCACCCGGAGCAGGUGUAGAAAAAUUCGUGCGCAAUCAUUAAACUAAAGUAAAGCGCGCACGAUAUAACGUUCGAUAACAACGUGACCAAUUGUUCAAACAUCAGAUAAUUCGAGAGAGAGAGAGAGAGAGAGAGAGAGGCCGAGCGAAACAGCGGGAGAUAUCGAGUCUGUAUAGCGCAAACAGAAAGAAUCUGGUGCAAUGGCGGGCUAUCGGCUUAUCAGAAGCAUUAAAGACGGAGAGGGAGCUACUCGGGCCGGAGAUAUCUGUCGGUGGAACGUGGAUGAAGAAAUAGCGCGAUUCAGUGUGCGCUAAGAAUUCGGAGGGAGCGCGUUGUUGGUGGUUUCGGUGAUCGAGGAACGAUGUUGAAAUACCAUCGACUGAUUCCCCGGGUCAGGUUACGAGGAGCGCGCUUAAUUCGAGUGUAUACAAAGUCGACAGUGGUUUUCUAUUCGUUCGUAGUAGUCUGUUUUCUCAUGUUUAUCUCGCUUAGAACACGGAGACUCUCAAAGCUGAAAGACCUCGCGGAGGUUAAGUUCGAGGAGCUGAAUUUGGAACUGAGCAGGCUACCGAGACCAGCGGAAGCGGAAGACUCUUGGAAGAGGCCGCGCAUCGAAGACACCGCGAUACUUUCGGCUUAUUUGGAGACUCGGCCCGAGGUCGUUCUCGAAGAGGACUCGAGUCUGCAGCGUGACAACCACGCCUGGGCAAUGAUCAGGAUCAUCGGCAUAAUACCGACGAGAUUGGAAAAGUCUCGGUUGUAUUGCUACCACAGAUACAGGUACAAAGAGAGUUGGGAGAGGAAGGAUGUUGUGUUCGAGGAGAAAUCGAUCGGCACGCGAUUGGCAGCGUACAAGGAAAAUUUUGGAAUGGCCAACUGCGCGGCGCACAUUCUCUGCGAAUUGCCAGGACGCCUGAACAGGAGCGAGCGGAUUCGCCUGCCGUACGAGGUGACGGUAACUUUGGAGGCCGUGGAAAACGCGAGGGAUCUGAGGGACCGAGAAUUCGUCGUCGUGCGUUAUCCGAAUAACGGUUGGAAAGAUGUGAGCGAUGAGAGCAGGCCGAGGGAGGACGGCGUGGCCGUUUGCGUUCAACCGCUUCAUCACCGGUUCGGCGACGACCUCGAUCUGGUCGCGUUCGUCGAAUUUUAUCGGGGCAUGGGGGUCAGCAGAUUCACUUUUUACAGGGACUCGGUGAGCCCUCGGGUGAACAAGGUCCUCGAGCACUACGUCGGUGAGGGAAUAGUGACGAUGAUCGAUUGGAAGCUGCCAGAUUUUUAUGCUUUCGAGAGGAAUCUCCGGGUCGACGGUAUUUUCGCGGCCCUCAAUGACUGUCUUUACAGAAGUACUUUCCACGCUGGUUAUCGAUACGUUGCGGGGGUCGACGUCGACGAGUACAUAGUGCCGAAGGAGCACGAUAAUUUUCAACAAAUGAUGGAGCACUUGAAUCCCCGGGGCAACGAUGAGCAAAUUGGCGCGUGGAUAUUUCGAAACGUUUUUUUUUACCUCAUGCACCCGGACGACACGAGCACUCUAGCGCCAAAUCUUCCGAGACUGAAACUCCACGUGAAAACGUGGCGCUGGCGAAAGACGAAUUCUGCAUGGGAUCGGAGCAAAUUUAUCGUCCAAGGACGCGACAUCAUUGAUUUGGGCAAUCAUCGCGUGUGGUUGACCAAACGAAGCUGGUCGAUUUUCGGGAGACGCUACCGGGAAGUCACCGUUGAACCCAAAAUAGCGAGCUCUCAUCACUACAGAAAGUGCGAAACAAAGAUCGAAACCUGUUGGCAAAGAAGUACAGAAAUCGACAGAACGGCGCAUCGAUUUACGGCUCGAGUCGCCCAAAGGGUCAGCGAUGUUUUGAGAAUCGUUUUUCCGGACGAAGCAUCUCGCCCGGGAUACAACACUAGCUUACCUUGACGAUAGAUGGGGAAUUCGCCGUCGCUGUGACUGUGCCUCAACAUUCUCGCGGAGUAGAAACGCCGCCACGAGCCUCGUUUCCGGUCCCUCGUCGAGUUUCCGGCAACGAGGAUCGCCUCGUCUCUCGCGAGGCUCAAUAGACUCGCCACCUCUUCGAAUCUCAGCUCGGCCACUUUACAACUCUCCUCCACUUUCGUAUGCUGGCCCAAAAGAGACGCCUCGACGAUCUCCUGCCUCCGGUGUUUGUCCAAUCGAUUCGAACAGCUUCUUCCGGAAUACAGCCUCGAGGCUCCGUGUGUCUUCUUGGCUUAUUCACCCAUCGGCGCUGCGGAGCGGCUAACGGUCAGUCUAUAUUUCAACGUGUCCAAACGCACAGUCGGAAUAUUCUGUUGAUUGGCAAACUCGUCCUUCCAUCGAUACGACGAGAUAUCCACGGAUCGAGCGAGCAAAGAAACUCUUCGGGGCGCUUCUUCUACCGAUUUUCAUCUCGAAUGGUCGUACUAAUAAAAGCUUUAAAGCUCCUUAAAACAGAGGAGUUAUGAAAGAUUAGUGAAUCGUGAAAAGACUUGAAACGGCGACGCACAAACUGUUAUACGAAGAUUAAACGAACAGGCGUCGUCGAGAGAAAAGAGAACGAGAGGACGACGAUCGUCCGGGACGGCUUCGAAGCGAACACUGCUACGACGAUAGUUGACGCGGAGGGCGAGAGAAAGAGCCCACGGAGGGAGAGAGAGAGAAAGUGCGAGGUUGCGGUACGAGAGCAAACGGCGCAAGCUUGGCCGAAAAGCGAGCUGUGGAACCACAUCAUCCUAUUUUGUCUCGCGACUACACCCACGACCUAUCCUCCGGAAAAACCUAUUGGGAGAGAGGCCACGACGGUGCAUGCUUCUUCACCUGCGCAGGGAGAACGGAAAGUAGAAUAUCGCCUCUGUAACUAUCUCCUCUCGUGAGCCACGACACGAGCUCUUCUCGAUAAGCUGAGCUGCUCUAUCCUCCAAACGACUCUCGCCUCGCUGGACCAACCGAGGAAGCGAGAGAAAGAGAGAGAGAAAGCAAAGGGACAAGGACGAGUUUGCGAGUGUGGCGCUCGUGACUCGGCUAGGGGGUCAAGGCCGAAUCACGAGAUCUUUCUCUUCGGUGCGAGGGUACGGACGAUCGAUCACCAACCUCACCGUUGCGUAGCCGACUGUCGUUAAUACCGAUCUCCACUUUUUCCGUUAACAAUCACAUUCGCUCUUUGAUUUACUGCCGGUUGGUGUUUUACGACGCGGAUCAAGAACCUCGGUAGAGAAUCGACGCUCCUCGAAUACACCGCCCCGUUUUAGCCUCCCACCACUGGUGAAAAUUUGUAUCAGCAUCCGCUGCACGACUCGUGUCUGCCUCAAGAGUAUGGAUCGGUCGACUAACCUCACUUGGAAUUUUCGAUAUCGAAAUUCUUCGAGACAGUUUGACCGAUUAAAAAAAAGCUCUGCCAGCCUACGCAGAACGAUGACAAAAAUCGACUGACAGAGCCUUUUUUUAAUCGGUCAAACUGUCUCGAAGAAUUUCGAUUUCAAAAUUUGCAGCUAUCUCUCUCUCGCACCGACUGAUCCAUCCUCUCAAGGAUGCUACUCGGUUAUCCGACUAGUCUGGUAACCUGGUGACUGGGGAAAAGUGUACAGCUACUCCGUGUGAUUUCUCAUAAGAGGCCAUGUUAACGUGACUUGUCGAGGCAGAAAAUAAAUUACAGAUAUUUCGCGUUACAA
rnacentral:misc_RNA from 1 species